rnacentral:rRNA from 1 species
AUCAGUGGCGAACGGGUGAGUAACACGUGAGCAAUCUGCCCUUGACUCUGGGAUAACUGCGGGAAACUGUAGCUAAUACCGGAUAUUACCUUGGAAGGCAUCUUCUGGGGUGGAAAGAAUUUUGGUCAAGGAUGAGCUCGCGGCCUAUCAGCUAGUUGGUGAGGUAAUGGCUCACCAAGGCGACGACGGGUAGCCGGCCUGAGAGGGUGACCGGCCACACUGGGACUGAGACACGGCCCAGACUCCUACGGGAGGCAGCAGUGGGGAAUAUUGCACAAUGGGCGCAAGCCUGAUGCAGCAACGCCGCGUGAGGGACGACGGCCUUCGGGUUGUAAACCUCUUUUAGUAGGGAAGAAGCGACUGGGUUUUCCUGGGAGUGACGGUACCUGCAGAAAAAGCACCGGCUAACUACGUGCCAGCAGCCGCGGUAAUACGUAGGGUGCAAGCGUUGUCCGGAAUUAUUGGGCGUAAAGAGCUCGUAGGCGG